rnacentral:rRNA from 1 species
GACGAACGCUGGCGGCGUGCUUAACACAUGCAAGUCGAACGGAAAGGCCCUGCUUUUGUGGGGUGCUCGAGUGGCGAACGGGUGAGUAACACGUGAGUAACCUGCCCUUGACUUUGGGAUAACUUCAGGAAACUGGGGCUAAUACCGGAUAGGAGCUCCUGCUGCAUGGUGGGGGUUGGAAAGUUUCGGCGGUUGGGGAUGGACUCGCGGCUUAUCAGCUUGUUGGUGGGGUAGUGGCUUACCAAGGCUAUGACGGGUAGCCGGCCUGAGAGGGUGAACGGCGACAAUGGGACUGAGAUACGGCCCAGACUCCUACGGGAGGCAGCAGUGGGGAAUAUUGCACAGUAGGCGGAAGCCUGAUGCAGCAACGCCGCGUGCGGGAUGACGGCCUUCGGGUUGUAAACCGCUUUCGCCUGUGACGAAGCGUGAGUGACGGUAAUGGGUAAAGAAGCACCGGCUAACUACGUG